UACGGAGGGUGCAAGCGUUAAUCGGAUUCAUUGGGCGUAAAGGGCACGUAGGCGGGGAAGUAAGUUAGAUGUGAAAGACCGGAGCUUAACUCCGGAACCGCAUUUAAAACUACUUCUCUAGAGGUUAGGUGGAGAAAAGGGAAUUCCACGUGUAGCGGUGAAAUGCGUAGAUAUGUGGAAGAACACCGGUGGCGAAGGCGCUUUUCUAACUUAUACCUGACGCUGAGGUGCGAAAGCGAGGGGAGCAAACAGG
rnacentral:rRNA from 1 species